AAUAGACGACCCUAAACAUCAUGAUUCGCAGUUCAUUUCUUGUUGUUUUGCUAACCUCCCUUUUACUCCUUCUCCUCAUCCCAAGAUCUUACUCUUCGGAGAUCAAUGUAACACAAACCUACACGAGCCCAAAAUUUGAGUAUGCUCUUCUGGAAUUUCCUCUAAAUAUACAAUAUUUGGUGGCUGAAUUCUACUUGAUUGGUGCUAAGGGUUAUGGAUUAGAUGCUUUUGCUCCAGGGUUAGCCCAGGGAGGACCCCCUCCCAUUGGAGGCCAAAAGGCCAAUCUGGAUCCCCUCACAAAAGACUUCAGCUUGCAGAAUGGUUUAGUUGCAACUGGACAUUUGAGGUUCUGAUCAUCUCUCUAGUCUCUCUACACAUUACAUUUGUUUAGGGAGGGAAACUAGAAAAGAAUAUUUUGUAUGGCAUGUUUGUUCUUAUUUUGGAAAUGAAUCUAAUAUCUUUAUUUUUAAGAAACAACCAAUAAUAUGAUGAUUUUAAUUUUGAUAAAGUAAAGUGUUGUUUCAUGGUUCCUUAAUUUACAGGGCUAUAAAGCGCGCAGUAAAAGGUUUCCCUAGGCCAUUAAUAAAUCUAAACAAGGAAUUAUUUGCUCAAAUUGUCGAUCAAGCCUUUGGACAACCUUUGAAUCCACCUUUUGAUCCCUAUGCCAAUUCCUUGAACUACCAACUUGCGGCUUACAUAACUACUUUAGUUGGCCCCGAUAUGUAUGUUGGAAUCAUUCCAAAGCUUCAAAAUACCGAGUCCAAAGAAGUAAGUGAUCAAUUUUUGAAGUUUUUUUUUACGAUUUUGUUUACUUACUUGCUUAAAGAGUGCUUGCGUAAUUUAUUAUUAAAAAAGGACAAGGGUAAAAAUAUAUUGACUUUUUUUUACUGAAUUUCCCUAAUUUUUUAAAUGCUAAAUAUUUUAAAAAAAGAAAUAUUCUUUAUUUUAUAUUUAAUGUAUUUUUUUAUUCCCUAAUUAUUAUCUUUUAAAAUUAUUUAACACGUAUCAAAAUCAAUCUUUUUAUAAUCACAUGGAGGAGGGUUUUAUUAAUAGUUAAUUAGUUUAAGUAGUAGAUAAUUACGUAUAUUAUUCUCUCAAAAGAUUUCAGAUUUGAUAUUUAUUCAUGGGAAAAAAAACUAAUGGAAUAAACGGUCUCUCUCUAUAUGUAUAACUUACACCACUUAUCUCUCUAUAUGUAUAACUUACACCACUUAUUUUUUUAUAAAGAGUAAGUUAGAAAGUUAACAAAAUUUAUAGUCAUAAUCUACCAACUUACUUUUUAUAAAAAUCAACUUACUUUUUAUAAAAAUUAAGUAGGUGUAAAUUAAUAAACUCAUAUAUUGAGGGGAGGGAGAAAAAGAAGGAAUCAAAGAAUAAGUUUUUAGAGUUAUUUUUUAUUCUUAUUAUUUAUUUUUUUGAAAUCUAAUGAUUAGAAUUAAUAAACAAAAUGAGAAAGUAUUUUAAUAUGUCAUGUAUAUUGGAUAUGAAAGAAUCAGUGACUAAGUUUAGUAACAUAAAGUUUGUUUCAUCUUGUUAAUUUUGGAGUCACUAAAUUUUAGAGACGGGUGUUUUAAAAAAAAUACACAUAUAAAUUGUUUGUUCAUAAAUUUUAUUUUUUCAAAAGGAAGAUAUAAUAGAAGAUAAACUUUUAUUGUAAAUAUAAACUUUAGGGACACUAGAUAAGCAAAUAAAAAAUAGAAAGUAUUUAACAAGAAAGACAACAUUUAUAAUAUAAAUUAAAAGAUAAAAAUAAUUUAGUAUUUACUUUAAUUUUAAUAUCCUCCAUUUAUUAAUCGAUACUUUUAAAAUAUUACUCAAAUUUAAUUUUUCAUAGGAAGUAUCACAUUUUUUAAGAAAAGAAAGUACCAAAUUAUGUAUAUGUAUAUGUAUAUAUGUGCAGGUUUUUGCUGGCCUUCUAGGAGCAGCAAGUGGCGGUCAAACAAGUAUUCGAGCAUAUCUAUACGAACGUUGGGACUCGCCGGUGCCACCAUAUAAAGUGACUGUGGCAGAGUUCACAAAUCGCAUUGCAGAACGAGCGAAUAAGCUAGGAAUGGAAGGAACCAAAACUGAGGGUAUUGUAGUACCUCCAUGGAAUGGUGCUGAAGGCAAAGUUUCAGGUAAUGUGAUUGAGGCCGACAAAUAUUCACUUUCAUAUGGAAGGACCCCAGAGGAAAUAUUAAGGAUAUCGUAUGGGAGUGGCAAUGAAACUAUCCCAGGUGGCUUCUACCCUCAUGGAGCAAAUGGUCGUAUAGCCCAAUAUUACUUUAAUUAAUAUGCCAUAGUUAUAUAGUCUAUAUCUUGAAAGAGCUGUGCCAGGCGAUGGCUGAAGUUUAUAAUAAGCAAUAUACAUGUUGCAUUGAACUGAUCUGAAAAUAAAAUUGCCUCAUGUCGAUCGUACUCGCUUUAAAAAUUUGCAUAUAAUGUUACAUUUUUUUUUUUGGGGGGGGGGGUCAACCAAAUUAAAAGUAUUUCAUUAAUAUAAUGGUACCGGUAGUACCUCUGCGUCAUACAACAUUGACAAUAUAUUACAUUAAAGUUUCUAUAUCCCACCGAAAGAAUCCCAGCACAAAUUACGUGCCAUUCAAUUCAAAGGUCCCCCCUCCCUGUAAUAAUGCACAUCCUAUUUUAUUAAGUGCCAUACUUGAAGCCCCGAAGUGACCCUGUGCAGAAAGCAAUAUCCUAGCAUAGCAGAAUUGCCCUAUUACAACAACUUGGUGGUUUACAUACCAAUCAUAAAAGGAGUGAUUGAAAGUUUUUUUACUUUAGCAGACAACCACGACCAUGAUCUAAAUCGAAGUUGCUCCACCGUUUUCAUCAAAGUCCAGCUGUUCCCCUUCAAAAAUUAUCCUGUUUCUAUGGCACCAGAUUGACCAUACUGUAGCACACCAAAUUACCCUCCACAACUUUGUUUUUCUCUUCCCAAGCCAGAAGCAAUUGUGCAUAAAAUAGUGUUGUAUUGUUUCACAAUGUUCCACUUGGUGUACACAUCCAAUCCAUUUGUAGCAACUUUGCCAUACUUCAUGCGCAAAUGGACAUGCAAACAGCAAGUGGCCACUGUACGUCCUCCUCCUUCUCAUGGCAGAAUGGGCAUAGCUGGUCCUGCUGCAAACAAUUCUAAAGAAAAAGUUAAUAGAAUUAUCACGAGCUGUUCAUGCAAAAUAUGCAUGUUUAACCGAAUAAGUUCUUGUUGAUACGUUUUUCCCGAGAAUAACAUUCUCUGCCAAAUGGAUGAUAUGCAUAUUUUUGGGGAAAAGCAGACAUUUCUCUUUAUUUUUAUUGAUGAGAAAACACAUUAUAAAACAAAAGUAUACACCAUAAAACAAAUUUGUUUAUUUAAUUUGGACUCUUAUUUUUACAUUCAUUAAGUUUAUUUUGUUAACACAGUUUAAAUUCUCGUUACGGUCUUAGAUUUGUUUAACAUAAUUCAAGAUUUUGUCUCUAGAUUUACAAUAAAUUUUUAGGAUAAAUUGGACUUUCUCGCAUCACUAUAUGUUUUUAGGGCAAGUGACUGAAGUGAGACAAAUUUACUAGCAUUUCCUCUAUGUGACUUCCUUCUCUCACCUAGAAUGACGACACAAACUUUUCAUGAUCCCGUCUCUCUAUCACUCAAGUGAUGACUCCCCUCUUUAGGUCAAACAAUUCUUGAAAUAAAUUCUAAUUUUUAUAUACAGACUUAACACUUUAAUUUUAAAAAAAAUUAAUUUACAGAUAAUAUCUUUAAUUUUAAGUAACUUCUUAAAAAUAAAAUAAUAUUAUUUUUAAAUCUAAAUAAUAUCCUAAAAAUUUAAAGUAAAAAAUUUAAAUUAUUUUGGAACGGAUAUAAUUUUACAUGGUUUUCUUGUAAUAGGAUUCGUUUAGUGCCUUAAGACCAAAACUGCAAAUGGAUGAUGCAUACUAGCUAGUUCAUCAUUUGAUAUUCAAAUUAUCGGAAGCAAAUUUUAUUUUGUACGUAGCGAAUCAUGAAAAUAAUCGUAAGUUUAAGUUUAAAUCUUUGAAUAACAUAAAUGAAGAUACUAUAUUUCCCUCGCCGAGAAAUAAGGGCGGUGCGGGGACUAUGUAAUCCUUGGGAACCACCACCAUUACACAUGUUAUUUUUAAUAAUAAUUUUUUUCUAAUAUUUAAUAAAAUUGUUAUAAAAAACUUUUAACAAUAUUUAAAGAAUAUCAUUAAAUAUGAAUAAAUUUUAUUAAUAUAUUUUCAUAAUAUUUUAUUAAAUAUUGUGUUAAUCAUAUCAUCAAAUCAUAUAUUAGUAAUAUUUAAUAAUAUUUUUAAAAUGUUAUCAAAAAAAUUUAAUAAUAUUUUUAUUAACUGUUAAAAUAAAAUAUUAUUAAAUAUCAUAUUUAUAGGAGUGCACUAAUGUGAUUAUUAUCUAAUGGAUGUAGUUUGACGGAAAAGAAUUUUAAUAUUUGAUUUGGCCCAAAAAAAAUACAAAAUCCUCUCCUACACUUCUUUGAUAAUUCAAUAAAUGAGGGAUAGCAAUCUAGAUAAAAUAAUAAUAAUUAUUACUCAUUUUAUUACCUAUCGUCAGUCUUCUUCUGUUAAGUGAUGACAUGACGAAUGGAGCGUCACGUCAUCAAAUCACAUCAGAACCAUGUUAUUACCUUUUUUCCCUUCUCCUUCUUUCCCUUGUCCCCUUUGUGGUACUAGACGGUUGGGAAAGGGAAGAACCUGAAAUGAAAAUAUGGAUUCAAUGAUGAAAUGAUCACAAAUCUAGAAAAAAAAUAGAGGUAAAAAAAUCAUAUCUGAAACAUGAAUCCUCUUUCUUUUAUUGGUGGUGCGUCGAAUCAAAUCUCAAACUCCAAACCAAUAGAACAACUUUUAGAUUUUUAGAAAUCAUCGACUAAACAAAGAUUGAUCAUGGUAACGCGGAGAGAUUUAUGGAAUCUAGUGCGGUGUGGCUGUCGGAGAAAAAGAUAACAAACUGCGGAGGAGUGACGGUUGCGAAAGCAAGACUGUAUCGGAGGAGCGACGACAACAGAGGGAGUGUGAGAUGUUGAGGGCGUAGAGAGGGUAAUUAAUGCGAUUGCGGGCAAGAUGAGUAUUGGUGAUGGCGUAGAUUGGUUGUGAUGGGUACUAGGUGGUUGGGAAAGGUCGCUGAUCUAUGGUGGUGCGAUGGUUUUGUGGGUGGUGGUAUGGCAUGGUGAAGUCGCGCAUGUGUGGGUGGUUACGUUUUUAGUGACAUGGAUGCAUGUGCCUACGUGUUUAGUAAUAACAUAACAUUUCGUUUGUUACGUCAUCACUUAAUGAAUAUGAACUAAUGGUAGGUAGUAAAAUAAAACGUAAUUUUUUUUUCAGAUACUUGAUUAAAAAAAUAUGAAUUUUAGGUAGUAAUCUAAAAACAACUUACAUUCUAAGUAUAAAAAACUUAAUUAAGUCUUAUGUUUAUAAGUCUAGGAUAUUUUCUAAUGACUAUAGUCAUGUAACUAAUUUAUAAUCAUGUAACUAAUUUAUAAUCAUGUAACUAAUUUAUUUCAAGAGAUGACGAUCCUUGAAAUAAGUUUUAUUUCUCUUAGCAAAGUUUUUCCUCUUACAUGAUAAGGAAUCAAUAUAAUUGUAUAUAAUGUUUGGUCGAACUAGGCUACGGCUACAAGGGCAGUCACCCCCAAGUAAACUAAUUUGAUAUAUAUCAUACAUUUGGUCCGCCUCCCUCCCUAUCUCUGAAUUCUAAUAUUGGUCAUAUAUUUAAGUUUUAGGUCUUGAUUGGGUUAAGUUUGAGUUUCAAUAAAUUACUUUAUGUCUUUAUCAAAACAAUUAAAUCAAAUAGAAACACGGGUAAAUUUGUUCAACGACCCGUCCCACAUACAUACACGCCUCUACUAUAUAUAUGUGCUGGAUAUGCAUUAGGUUUACCACCCAGAAAAUAGACGACCCUAAACAUCAUGCUUCGCAGUUCAUUUCUUGUUGUUUUGCUAACCUCCCUUGUACUCCUUCUCCUCAUCCCAAGAUCUUACUCUUCGGAGAUCAAUGUAACACAAACCUACCCGAGCACAAAAUUUGAGUAUGCUCUUCUGGAAUUUCCUCUAAAUAUACAAUAUUUGGUGGCUGAAUUCUUCUUGAUUGGUGCUAAGGGUUAUGG
rnacentral:lncRNA from 1 species